rnacentral:rRNA from 1 species
AUUGAACGCUGGCGGCAUGCUUUACACAUGCAAGUCGAACGGCAGCGCGGGCUUCGGCCUGGCGGCGAGUGGCGAACGGGUGAGUAAUGCAUCGGAACGUGCCCAGUAGUGGGGGAUAGCCCGGCGAAAGACGGAUUAAUACCGCAUACCACCUGAGGGUGAAAGCGGGGGACCGAAAGGCCUCGCGCUAUUGGAGCGGCCGAUGUCGGGUUAGCGUGUUGGUGGGGUAAAGGCUUACCAAGGCGACGAUCCGUCGCUGGUCUGAGAGGACGACCAGCCACACUGGGACUGAGACACGGCCCAGACUCCUACGGGAGGCAGCAGUGGGGAAUUUUGGACAAUGGGGGCAACCCUGAUCCAGCCAUGCCGCGUGCGGGAAGAAGGCCUUCGGGUUGUAAACCGCUUUUGUUCGGGAAGAAAUCCUCUGGGCUAAUACCCCGGGGUGAUGACGGUACCGGAAGAAUAAGCACCGGCUAACUACGUG